rnacentral:sRNA from 1 species
AGUGAACUCCGUUUGAGGUGGAAAUCCUUUUUUAAAACCUCCAGCCUAUCAAGCGCUGAAAAUUUUAAAAAAUAUUGAAACGGAUAGCUGGAAUAGCU